rnacentral:rRNA from 1 species
UCUGCGAUAAGCGCCGGUAAGGUGAUAUGAACCGUUAUAACCGGCGAUACCCGAAUGGGGAAACCCAGUGUGACUCGUCACACUAUCAUUAACUGAAUCCAUAGGUUAAUGAGGCGAACCGGGGGAACUGAAACAUCUAAGUACCCCGAGGAAAAGAAAUCAACCGAGAUUCCCCCAGUAGCGGCGAGCGAACGGGGAGGAGCCCAGAGCCUGAAUCAGCAUGUGUGUUAGUGGAAGCGUCUGGAAAGGCGCGCGAUACAGGGUGACAGCCCCGUACACAAAAGCGCAUGUGCUGUGAGCUCGAUGAGUAGGGCGGGACACGUGGUAUCCUGUCUGAAUAUGGGGGGACCAUCCUCCAAGGCUAAAUACUCCUGACUGACCGAUAGUGAACCAGUACCGUGAGGGAAAGGCGAAAAGAACCCCGGCGAGGGGAGUGAAAAAGAACCUGAAACCGUGUACGUACAAGCAGUGGGAGCCCCACCACUAAGCCAGUGGUGAACUCCACAUACGCAUCCUUUGCUGAGGAUACGGUUAACGGAGCGAAAGCGACGUUCAACCGCAAAAGAAGCAGAGGGGGCUUAGUGGUGGGGUGACUGCGUACCUUUUGUAUAAUGGGUCAGCGACUUAUAUUCUGUAGCAAGGUUAACCGUAUAGGGGAGCCGGAGGGAAACCGAGUCUUAAU